UUUGUACACCCCGCCCGUCACGUCACGAAAGUUGGUAACACCCGAAGCCCGUGGCCUAACCUUUUUGGGGGGAGCGGUCGAAGGUGGGAUUGGCGAUUGGGACGAAGUCGUAACAAGGUAGCCGUACCGGAAGGUGCGGCUGGAUCACCUCCUU
rnacentral:rRNA from 1 species